GAUUUUGUUUUAAGACUGGUGAAGCUAGUGCACAACGGUAUUGCAAACUAACUCUUGGUAGGAAGUGGGCUGCACAUAGGCAUAAUUUAUGGAAUGAGUUCUAUGAUCCAACGAAAAGCAAAAAUGAAAUCAUAAGUAAUGUGCCAAAUGGUAUAGACAGAACUCAAUGGACUCAUUUUGUUACUUAUCGUCUAAAACCGGAAACAUUGGAGAUUUGUAAAAAAAAAUAGAGAAAAUCGCA